ACUGCUCUCAACUCAAAGAUCGAAUGAUGGUUGCUGUAGCGACGGCCAGUAGCGAUUUAGAGGAAGAUAUCCUGGAGAUAUCUGACGAGGUAUCUACUUCUUCCUAACAGUGGAUUUUAGAUUCUGCAUGCACCUAUCAUGUAUGUUGUAGAGAGGAGCAGUUUGACUCCCUGGAGAAUAGUGAGUACACUAUUUAUUUGUCGGAUGGAUCGAGCUGUGCGAUCAAAGGCAUCAGGACGGUCAGCUGGAGGACACAUGAUGGUGUAGUGAGG
rnacentral:lncRNA from 1 species